rnacentral:rRNA from 1 species
AUACGGAGGGGGCGAGCGUUAAUCGGAAUUACUGGGCGUAAAGCGUGCGGAGGCGGUUUGCUAAGUCAGAUGUGAAAGCCCCGGGCUUAACCUGGGAACUGCAUUUGAUACUGGCAGACUAGAGUAUGAUAGAGGGGGGUAGAAUUCCUGGUGUAGCGGUGAAAUGCGUAGAUAUCAGGAGGAAUACCAGUGGCGAAGGCGGCCCCCUGGAUCAAUACUGACGCUGAGGUACGAAAGCGUGGGGAGCGAACAGGAUUAGAAACCCCAGUAGUCC